GUUAGGAAUAUUGGACAAUGGGCGCAAGCCUGAUCCAGCCAUACCGCGUGGGUGAAGAAGGCCUUCGGGUUGUAAAGCCCUUUUGUUGGGAAAGAAAUCCUAUCGAUUAAUACUCGGUGGGGAUGACGGUACCCAAAGAAUAAGCACCGGCUAACUUCGUGCCAGCAGCCGCGGUAAUACGAAGGGUGCAAGCGUUACUCGGAAUUACUGGGCGUAAAGCGUGCGUAGGUGGUUGUUUAAGUCUGCUGUGAAAGCCCUGGGCUCAACCUGGGAAUUGCAGUGGAUACUGGGCAACUAGAGUGUGGUAGAGGGAUGCGGAAUUUCUGGUGUAGCAGUGAAAUGCGUAGAGAUCAGAAGGAACAUCCGUGGCGAAGGCGGCAUCCUGGGCCAACACUGACACUGAGGCACGAAAGCGUGGGGAGCAAACAGGAUUAGAAACCCUGGUAGUCC
rnacentral:rRNA from 1 species